rnacentral:rRNA from 1 species
CAGUCGCCGCGGUAAAACGAAGGGGGCUAGCGUUGUUCGGAAUUACUGGGCGUAAAGCGCACGUAGGCGGAUAUUUAAGUCAGGGGUGAAAUCCCGCAGCUCAACUGCGGAACUGCCUUUGAUACUGGGUAUCUUGAGUAUGGAAGAGGUUAGUGGAAUUGCGAGUGUAGAGGUGAAAUUCGUAGAUAUUCGCAGGAACACCAGUGGCGAAGGCGGCUAACUGGUCCAUAACUGACGCUGAGGUGCGAAAGCGUGGGGAGCAAACAGGAUUAGAUACCCCUGUAGUCCCGUCUCUUAUACA